UGAAUGGUGAAAAUCCACUGUAUGUAACAUAUGAACCCUGGAGAAAGACAACCUCCAGCAUCUAAAGGAAGAAGCAAUAAUGGAGUUUGGUGGUGCCGGUGCCAGUAUUCACAGGACAGGAACUAGGAAGCCGCCAUUAAUCCCUGACUUCAAUGAGGAAACAUCACCAGUGUUUGUAUAAUUGAAAACAAUAGGAUAACAAGGCAGCAGGUUUAGUUCUCAUAACUCUUACUGAUUUUCUC
rnacentral:misc_RNA from 1 species